UUUCCGUAGGUGAACCUGCGGAAGGAUCAUUAAUGAGUUGUCAUGGGGUUCGAUGCUGGCAGCCAAUUUUUGGAUGCAUGUGCUUGCCCUAACAAUCAUCUUCCAAACACCUGUGCACAUUUUUGAGGGAGUCUUGAGUUGGUUGCCGCUCUUGGGUGAUUUUCUCACAUUCCCUUAAAUCAUUAUACGCUAUUAACAAUGUUGAACGUGCUCUGUGCCGCAAGGCUAUUAAUAUAAUACAACUUUUAACAACGGAUCUCUUGGCUCACACAUCGAUGAAGAACGCAGC
rnacentral:misc_RNA from 1 species